GAAAAGACACAGUUUCACAGUUGUAAGUCUACCAGCAAUUAAAAUUGAAAAUCAUUUCAACAUAAAGCAUACUGUGUAGGUAAUGCUGACAGUCUUGCUAUAUUAUCAAGCAUAAAUUGAUUUGAUGUGAGUUAAGAGGAUUCUAGGGUUUGUAUAAAUACAUAAAGUAUGUUUUUAUUGUAAUUAAGUCAGGAAAGCUUACUUUGCUGUUUAAACAACAUCACAAAAUUGUAUCUUAAUUUACUAAGUCUUUUGUUAAUUUUAUUGUUGUUAAUGUUUGUACAUAUCAAUUGGCAAUACAUUUUUAAUCAUGUGAUUGAAGAGUUCCUAGCAAUGGGUUCUAUGCAAUAUACAUUCUUGUUACAAAUGAACAUUGGGUUAGAACCUUUCAAUGGCUGACUAUUUCAUUUCUUAUGGUCAAACUUGAGUUUUAAACUAUGCAUUAAAUAGUACUUAAAGACAUUUUAAAAAUGUAAUGCCAUAGAGAAACCCUCCCCCCCCCCCCCCC